rnacentral:sRNA from 19 species
GAGGCCGGAGGUCAACGCCCGACAGCGCUAUGCGCCCUCGGGCGCAAAUGUG